AAACCAUGCAUCGAGCAUUUUCAAACUAGUUCCUUCAAAUGCUCUUAUGCUUUAUAUAAUGUUUCAUCUUCAGAUUUCUUGAAUGAUGUAAUGUCAUUCCUAAGCUU
rfam:Gossypium raimondii Chr13_contig_836, whole genome shotgun sequence.